UAGGGAAUCUUCGGCAAUGGGGGGAACCCUGACCGAGCAACGCCGCGUGAGUGAAGAAGGUUUUCGGAUCGUAAAGCUCUGUUGUUAAGGAAGAACGAGUGUGAGAAUGGAAAGUUCAUACUGUGACGGUACUUAACCAGAAAGGGACGGCUAACUACGUGCCAGCAGCCGCAGUAAUACGUAGGUCCCGAGCGUUGUCCGGAUUUAUUGGGCGUAAAGCGAGCGCAGGCGGUUAGAAAAGUCUGAAGUGAAAGGCAGUGGCUCAACCAUUGUAGGCUUUGGAAACUGUUUAACUUGAGUGCAGAAGGGGAGAGUGGAAUUCCAUGUGUAGCGGUGAAAUGCGUAGAUAUAUGGAGGAACACCGGUGGCGAAAGCGGCUCUCUGGUCUGUAACUGACGCUGAGGCUCGAAAGCGUGGGGAGCGAACAGGAUUAGAUACCCUGGUAGUCCACGCCGUAAACGAUGAGUGCUAGGUGUUAGGUCCUUUCCGGGACUUAGUGCCGCAGCUAACGCAUUAAGCACUCCGCCUGGGGAGUACGACCGCAAGGUUG
rnacentral:rRNA from 1 species